rnacentral:rRNA from 1 species
UGGGGAAUCUUGCGCAAUGGGCGAAAGCCUGACGCAGCGACGCCGCGUGAGUGAUGAAGGCCUUCGGGUUGUAAAGCUCUGUGGGGAGAGAAGAAUAAGUGCGGGCUAAUACCCCGCAUGAUGACGGUAUCUCCUUAGCAAGCACCGGCUAACUCUGUGCCAGCAGCCGCGGUAAGACAGAGGGUGCAAACGUUGUUCGGAAUUACUGGGCGUAAAGCGAGUGUAGGCGGUUUGGUAAGUCGGAUGUGAAAGCCCCGGGCUCAACCCGGGAAGUGCAUUCGAUACUGCCAAGCUAGAGUAUCGGAGAGGUUGGUGGAAUUCUCGGUGUAGAGGUGAAAUGCGCAGAUAUUAGGAGGAACACCGGUGGCGAAGGCGCCGCUCUGGGCCGAAACUGACGCUGAGGAGCGAAAGCAUGGGUAGCAAACAGGAUUAGAUACCCGCGUAGUCCCUGAGCGGGCUGGCAAGGCGCAU